rnacentral:rRNA from 1 species
GACGAACGCUGGCGGCGUGCUUAACACAUGCAAGUCGAACGGAAAGGCCCUGCUUUUGUGGGGUGCUCGAGUGGCGAACGGGUGAGUAACACGUGAGUAACCUGCCCUUGACUUUGGGAUAACUUCAGGAAACUGGGGCUAAUACCGGAUAGGAGCUCCUGCUGCAUGGUGGGGGUUGGAAAGUUUCGGCGGUUGGGGAUGGACUCGCGGCUUAUCAGCUUGUUGGUGGGGUAGUGGCUUACCAAGGCUUUGACGGGUAGCCGGCCUGAGAGGGUGACCGGCCACAUUGCGACUGCGAUACGGCCCAGACUCCUACGGGAGGCAGCAGUGGGGAAUAUUGCACAAUGGGCGGAAGCCUGAUGCAGCAACGCCGCGUGCGGGAUGCCGGCCUUCGGGUUGUAAACCGCUUUCGCCUGUGACGAAGCGUGAGUGACGGUAAUGGGUAAAGAAGCACCGGCUAACUACGUG